rnacentral:rRNA from 1 species
CGCGAGCAUCUACAACAGUCAAGUUAUGAAGGGCUUACGGUGGAUGCCUUGGCGCCAGGAGCCGAUGAAGGACGUGUCAGGCUGCGAAAAGCUUCGGGGAGCUGCCGAGAGAGCUUUGAUCCGGAGAUGUCCGAAUGGGGAAACCCGGCCGGGGUCAUGCCCGGUCACCCGUCGCUGAACACAUAGGCGAUGAGGAGGGAACCGCCCGAAGUGAAACAUCUCAGUAGGGCGAGGAAGAGAAAGCAACCGCGACUCCCCUAGUAGCGGCGAGCGAACGGGGAACAGCCUAAACCGGUGCGGUGGAAAGCCCGACGGCGUUGCCGUGCCGGUGUCGUGGGACCCACAAGGAUCCUCGUCGGAAGAUCCAAGGAGUGACAAAACCGAUAUCUAGACGAAGGCCAUGGAAAGGGCCGCCGCAGAAGGUAACAGCCCUGUAGUCGAAAGGUGAUCGGUCUCCUCGUGGGGAUCCCGAGUAGCACGGGACCCCUGAAAUCCCGUGUGAAUCUGGGGGGCCCACCCCCUAAGGCUAAGCACUCCCUGGCGACCGAUAGUGAACCAGUACCGUGAGGGAAAGGUGAAAAGCACCCCGGGAGGGGAGUGAAAUAGCACCUGAAACCGUGAGCCUACAAGCAGUCGGAGCCCGUUCCUGGGUAACCAGGGCGGGUGACGGCGUGCCUUUUGAAGAAUGAGCCGGCGAGUUAGCGGUACGUGGCGAGGUUAACCGUUCUCGGGUAGCCGAAGCGAAAGCGAGUCUGAAACAGGCGAACAGUCGCGUGCUCUAGACCCGAAGCCGAGUGAUCUACCCAUGGGCAGGUUGAAGCGAGGGUAAGACCUCGUGGAGGACCGAACCCACCAGGGUUGAAAACCUGGGGGAUGACCUGUGGGUAGGGGUGAAAGGCCAAUCAAACUCGGUGAUAGCUGGUUCUCCCCGAAAUGCCUUUAGGGGCAGCCUCGGGCGUUCUCCAACGGAGGUAGAGCACUGAUUGGGCUAGGGGGCCUACAAGCUUACCGACCUCAGUCAAACUCCGAAUGCCGUCGGACCACAGCCCGGGAGUGAGGGCGCGGGGGCUAAGCUCCGUGUCCGAGAGGGAAACAACCCAGAUCGCCAGCUAAGGUCCCUAAGUUCGUGCUAAGUGGGUAAGGAUGUGAGAUCGCGAAGACAACCAGGAGGUUGGCUUAGAAGCAGCCACCCUUGAAAGAGUGCGUAAUAGCUCACUGGUCAAGUGGUCUUGCGCCGACGAUGUAACGGGGCUCAAGCACGACACCGAAGCUGCGGGAUCCGUCGUAUCACCCGGCCCUCGAGGGCAGCCUCGUGGGUCCAGGUGGGUGGAUCGGUAGGGGAGCGUUCCCACGCGGGUGAAGCGGCGGGGUAACCCAGCCGUGGAUGCGUGGGAAGUGAGAAUGCCGGCAUGAGUAGCGAAAGACGGGGGAGGAGCCCGUCCGCCGAAUGCCCAAGGGUUCCUGGGGAAGGUUCAUCCGCCCAGGGUUAGUCGGGACCUAAGCCGAGGCCGAGAGGCGUAGGCGAUGGACGACAGGUUGAUAUUCCUGUACCACCUUGACCGCGCCCAGGCCGGAUCCGAGGCACUAAGGGAACCCCUUCGGGGGCUACCGACCAACUCGGUAGUAGGCCAGCGAUGGGGGGACGCAGGAAGGUAGCUCGACCCAGGCGUUGGUUGACCUGGGGCAAGUGUGUAGGGAGGCUUCCCAGGCAAAUCCGGGAGGUCACCAUCCUGAGACACGAUGCCGAGCCGUUCAGGCGAAGCGAGUGAUCCUCUACUGCCGAGAAAAACCUCUAGCGAGUGAUCAAGGUGCCCGUACCCCAAACCAACGCAGGUGGGCACGUAGAGAAUACGAAGGCGAUCGAGAAAACCCUGGUCAAGGAACUCGGCAAAUCGCGUCCGUAACUUCGGGAGAAGGACGACCGCGGUAGGGUGAAGGACUUCGCGUCCGGAGCUCGAAGCGGUGACACAGACCAGGCCCAAGCGACUGUUUACUAAAAACACAGGUCCGUGCGAAGUCGUAAGACGAUGUAUACGGACUGACGCCUGCCCGGUGCCGGAACGUUAAGGGGAGAGGUCAGUGGCUUCGGCCGCGAAGCUUUGAACCUAAGCGCCGGUAAACGGCGGCGGUAACUAUAACCGUCCUAAGGUAGCGAAAUUCCUUGUCAGGUAAGUUCUGACCUGCACGAAUGGCGUAACGACUUGGGCACUGUCUCGACCAGGGACUCGGCGAAAUUGCAAUACGAGUAAAGAUGCUCGUUACCCGCGGAAGGACGGAAAGACCCCGGGACCUUUACUGCAGCUUGAUGUUGGGUUCUGGCAUGUGUUGCGUAGGAUAGGUGGGAGGCGUCGAAGCGGAGCUUCCGGGCUUCGUGGAGCCAACCUUGAAAUACCACCCUUCACUAGUUGGGACUCUAACCCAGGCCCGUGAUCCGGGUCGGGGACAGCGUCUGGUGGGCAGUUUAACUGGGGCGGUUGCCUCCUAAAAUGUAACGGAGGCGCCCAAAGGUUCCCUCAGCCUGGUUGGCAAUCAGGCGUCGAGUGCAAGGGCACAAGGGAGCUUGACUGCGAGAUCGACGGAUCGAGCAGGAGCGAAAGCUGGGCCUAGUGAUCCGACGGCUCCAUGUGGAAGGGCCGUCGCUCAACGGAUAAAAGGUACCCCGGGGAUAACAGGCUGAUCCUACCCAAGAGUCCAUAUCGACGGUAGGGUUUGGCACCUCGAUGUCGGCUCGUCUCAUCCUGGGGCUGGAGCAGGUCCCAAGGGUCGGGCUGUUCGCCCGUUAAAGAGGCACGCGAGCUGGGUUUAGAACGUCGUGAGACAGUUCGGUCCCUAUCCUCCGUGGGCGUAGGAGGCUUGACGGGAGCUGCCCCUAGUACGAGAGGACCGGGGCGGACGAACCUCUAGUGUGCCAGUUGUCGCGCCAGCGGCACGGCUGGUUGGCUACGUUCGGAAGGGAUAAGCGCUGAAAGCAUCUAAGUGCGAAGCCCACCCGGAGAUGAGGCCUCCCACUGGGAGACCAGGUAAGGGCCCUGGAAGACCACCAGGUUGAUAGGCGGGACGUGGAAGCACGGCAACGUGUGGAGCUGACCCGUACUAAUAGCCCGAGGACUUGACCCUAUU